rnacentral:lncRNA from 1 species
UCAUGCUUGUCAUACAAGCACUUUGUCUGUCAAGCCACUCUUAGGGUUUGGUGAAACUUCUUACUGGUUACUUACCUGUAGGCGCUUGGAGCCCCGCCCCCACCCGGGACUCUGCGUCUCUGGCAAGUCUCAUUUUCCUCUGGGUCCAUUUGUCGAUGAGGCCGACUGUCCUUGAUGUCUCGAGUUGGGUGGAUCUGUUGGAGAAAAUCCUCCAGGGCAGGGCAUCUUCAGGAAGGUGAGGGUGCUAGGGAUCCAGGAGUAGUCCUUGAUGUCCUUGUUGCCAUGGUCACCUGCAGCUACAGCAGGAUCAGAAGCUGAUGGCGUGUUUCCCUUUGGGCGAAGGCAUGGGAACUCUAGUACAGAGGGGCUGAAUUGAGCAUGCGCAGUUCGUCAUCAAUGGUUUAAACUAGGACUUACUCAUGUUUAUUCUCCCUUUGAGUGGGGUUUCUCAGCACUGUGCCUUACCCACCCGUGGAACUCCAUUAUGAAGCUAAUCAUUGCUUUAACACAGAGCCUCCCUGGCGUACGGGCACCUUUAAUACACAUAGAUGUCGUUCUGCAUCUCCCGUCUUACUCAGCAGUGGGCUUUAAGAUGUGGCUGUCCCUCCACGCACUGGAAACUUACUGAGAUGACCCAAAGAGCUUUUGUUUAUGCGGGUUAAAGCUAUUGACAGUCACCAUGCUUGCGGCUUAAAACAGAGACUUUUAAAGUAUAUACGGAUUCACUUGAAAAGAGCCGUGAUGAAUGCAUCCUGUGUUGAUGCAGAUAACGUUUUGGUGUUGCAACGAAAAUGGUUUUGUCUCAGCAGACCCCUCUUUCUAGACUGAUGACAGUUUGUUCCUCAGUGUGGAGGGGGUUUCAUGAACGAUGGAAACUUAGAAAGCGAGUUUGGUUUGCGUGGUCUUAUAAUACACGUGCUGGAAAAGGAGCCGUGGGGUGGAUUAAAUUUUAGCAAAACUCUGUUUAGGAUUAGUGGGGUCUGGACCCUUAGCUUCUGAGUGAUAUCAUUGCUGGUAUUGAAAAGGCCGUGUCGCUUGGCAGAUGUUCUGUGCUGUACCAGAACACUUCCUGGUGUGGUGUGUGGGAUUUGUUGUGUCUCAUACAAAACCCCUCACUUUAAAAUGGCAUGUGUUCGUUUUACUUUUAUUUUUGCAAUUCUUACUGCAUAGGCUAUUAUAAAAAUCCCAAAAUAGUCUUUGCCUUGCUAGAGAGCACAGGUUGAUGGUUUUUUAGCACAUCAUCGAGGUGUCUAAACAUCACUGCUACCUUAUCUCUUAUUUUAAUUCUAAAACUUUUUUUUUCCAAAAUGAGACUUCAUAUUCUUUCUACAUCUCCAGCCCAGGGGAAUCCAUGCUUUGUCUGUAUUGAUUUGCUUAUUCUGGAUAGUUCAUGUCACUUGAUUUUUUUUUUCCAGAAUGUGUGGCCCUUUCUGAUUGGUCUUGUUCACACUGCAGCCUGGGUUGGGGGUCCACCCGUGUCGUUGCCUGCAGUGUUACCCUGUGCUUAUUUGUGAUUAAAUUGCACCCGACUAUAGGGAUGCAUGCCGUGUUUUGUUUCUCUGUUCAUUGGUAGGUGGCUCUUCAAAGUGCUUCCACUUUAGAAUCAUUACAAAUGAUGCUGUGAAAUGUCUGUUUGCAUGAGUUUUUAUGUGGAUGCACAUCUUCAACAUUCUGUUUGCUUUUGAGUGUCACCGAUCCGGUGGGUAACUGUAGCUUGUUGUCUCAGCACCUGUGACUACACAUUAACAGCCCCCCCCCCCUCACACCCACACAACACGAUUUUGCUGUGACAGUGCUCCAGCUCCUGCCUUCCCAAACUAAGUAGGGAGAAAUGAAAGAAGCUGGCUCCUUGGGACGUCUUUUACACCUACAGUCUUGGGGAUUUCUCGGGGUGGGGCAGGGCUUAAAAGGCAAAGAGAGUUUGUUCUCUUACUGUAAGAUCUGUAUAAGAAGAGUUGCCAGAUCCAAAGAGGAUCUGCCCAGGGUUCCUCAGGUUUCUCUUGUACAGAAAAAAUGGUGUUAAGAAAUCCAUUUUGGAUCAUGUAUGUUUGCUGGGACGUCCCUUUGGUGUGCCAAGGGUCUUCCUUGUGUCUCUCUGCAGGUCUUUCCCUUUCUGAUCUGGUUGGUUUGCCACUGCAGCCGGGGAGGUCUCUACCAGCAGGUGGCGCUGCUCCGUAGCUUGUGUCUCACUAGAAAGGAUAUCCAACCUCCCAGUGAAUGACUGACUAUGGGAGGUUCCUCAGACCAACAAGAGGCAGCGCCCGCCCCCGCCCGUAUCAAGUUGGUGUUCAUGACCUUUGCUGAUCCAGAAGCAGGUGGCUUGCUGUAGGCUGACGUGAUCCCUGAUACAGCGGGAUGAGAAGUAACUGUAUAGAGGGCCGUGUGACGUAAUAGAGUGUCGGGGUGAUCUCUUAUUUAUUUAAACUAUUGGUAAUGUUCUAUUUAUUUCUAGGCUACCUUGGGGGAAGCUCCAUACACACACCGCACACCCCCUAUUCACUCCUUUGUAAACCCCAAUGAUUAAAUAGGCUCUGCUUUUGUAAACCGAAAUAAAGCAUUUGUAAGUCAUUGUUUUCCACGGGUGUGCACGGAUGUGUCUCACUCUGGUUUUAACCUUGCUUUCCCCCAAUGUCCACUGGUGUCACUCACCCUCACAUACUCUUUAGUGAUGUGUCAGGGCAAGGUACUUUGAAGGGCCCUGCAUGGGGGAUGGGAACUCGAGGUCCAGGAAAGAAAGCCUGAACGGAGGAUGUCGGUCUUAGAAUGGAAGCAAAAGGUGGAUGAGAGGGAGACUUGGCACACGAAGGCAAGCCUUGGAGCAACUCCUAGGCCCCACCCCUCUUCAGCCUCUCUCUUGCUCUCAUCAUGGGAUGGGUGUGUAUAUUCAGGUCCACCACACCGAAAGACACAAGUGUGCUCUUGGAGCUUGCCAGGUUCAGAGGAGCCCCAUAUUCUAAGCAGGAAUGCUCUGGUUCACCUGAGGUGUAGUGUGUUCCCCACCCCAAACCCCCACCCAAAGGUUCGUGUAACAGGGAGGUUGCCCCCCAGAGGUUCCUGGAGGACCUGUGACUUCACUGCAACUUGGGUUAUGGGCUGGACAUGGUGGCGCAUGCCUUCAAUGGACGUAUCCAGGAGGCAGAAGCAGAGAGGCAGAGGGGCAGAGGCAGGUGCAAAGGGGC